CAUCCCACUAUAUUGUUCGCCAGAGUACUACAAGCGCUAGCUUAAAACCCAAAGGACUUGGCGGUAUCCCACACCCACCUAGAGGAGCCUGUUCUAUAACCGAUAAUCCCCGUUCAACCUCACCACUUCUUGCCAUUACCGUCUAUAUACCGCCGUCGUCAGCCCACCCUGUGAAGGAUUAAAAGUAAGCAAAAAGAAUAAAACUCCAAAACGUCAGGUCGAGGUGUAGCAAAUGAAGUGGGAAGAAAUGGGCUACAUUUUUUCCCAAAAACAUACGAAUGGUAAACUGAAAACACACCUAAAGGUGGAUUUAGCAGUAAGAGAAGAUCAGAAUACUUCUCUGAAAUCGGCUCUGGGAUAAGCACACACCGCCCGUCACUCUCCUCAAAAACAAUUCACUCCCUUCUAUAAAUCCAUUUCCCCAAUAAGAGGAGGCAAGUCGUAACAUGGUAAGUGUACUGGAAAGUGCACUUGGAAUC
rnacentral:rRNA from 1 species